GCCGGUUGAUCCUGCCGGAGGCCAUUGCUAUCGGAGUCCGAUUUAGCCAUGCUAGUCGCACGAGUUCAGACUCGUGGCAUAUAGCUCAGUAACACGUGGCCAAACUACCCUACAGACCGCGAUAACCUCGGGGAACUGAGGCCAAUAGCGGAUAUAACUCUCAUGCUGGAGUGCCGAGAGUUAGAAACGUUCCGGCGCUGUAGGAUGUGGCUGCGGCCGAUUAGGUAGAUGGUGGGGUAACGGCCCACCAUGCCGAUAAUCGGUACAGGUUGUGAGAGCAAGAGCCUGGAGACGGUAUCUGAGACAAGAUACCGGGCCCUACGGGGCGCAGCAGGCGCGAAACCUUUACACUGCACGACAGUGCGAUAGGGGGACUCCGAGUGUGAGGGCAUAUAGCCCUCGCUUUUCUGUACCGUAAGGUGGUACAAGAAUAAGGACUGGGCAAGACCGGUGCCAGCCGCCGCGGUAAUACCGGCAGUCCAAGUGAUGGCCGAUAUUAUUGGGCCUAAAGCGUCCGUAGCUUGCUGUGUAAGUCCAUUGGGAAAUCGACCAGCUCAACUGGUCGACGUCCGGUGGAAACUACACAGCUUGGGGCCGAGAGACUCAACGGGUACGUCCGGGGUAGGAGUGAAAUCCUGUAAUCCUGGACGGACCACCAAUGGGGAAACCACGUUGAGAGACCGGACCCGACAGUGAGGGACGAAAGCCAGGGUCUCGAACCGGAUUAGAUACCCGGGUAGUCCUGGCUGUAAACAAUGCUCGCUAGGUAUGUCACGCGCCAUGAGCACGUGAUGUGCCGUAGUGAAGACGAUAAGCGAGCCGCCUGGGAAGUACGUCCGCAAGGAUGAAACUUAAAGGAAUUGGCGGGGGAGCACCACAACCGGAGGAGCCUGCGGUUUAAUUGGAUUCAACGCCGGG
rnacentral:rRNA from 1 species